CCCCCCCCCCCCCCCCCCCCCCCCCCCCCCCCUGGGGUUGGGGCUGGGGGCGCUGGCCAAGGACGGACCCUCGUUGUCCCGACCCACGGGCGGGCAGAGCUCCGAGCAUCCCGACCCCGAGCGACCCGCCCCGGCACGCUGAGGAGCGGAGGAGCAGAAGGGAGGGGAGGGAAGGGGAGGGAGCGGAGCGGAGCGGGACGAGCAGAGCCGGAGCCGCCGGCGUUUGAGGGCGGGCGCUGACGGAGCCGGGCGAGAGCAGCACGGCGGGGACAGCGGUGACUGCAAACUGGUGGAAGCAAUAGGACUAACAGGCUUGUUCAGGUUUGUGAAGACUUCAGGAGAUCCAGUCCUGGUGAAUGCAAGGAAAAGCAUGGGAAGCCUGCAGAUUGCAUACAGUGCAGUAAUGUGCACCAAUGCAUCGGGGCCUGGUGCUCAACACCUGAUUUCAGCAUUUGAAGACUAAUUGUUGAAGGGAAAAUCUGAAUAGUCUGAAGAAAUAAAUGAAAAUGGAGAUCUGCACUUAAAGAAGCCUUGAUUUGCAAAUCUGGCAAAAAAUAUGUUUGCAGAAGGAAUCCAGAUGUGUUGUUUUAUAUGUUUGGUACUCUAUUAAUAAAGGGUCCCCUAUAAAUACCAAAACCAUGACCCAUACCCAGCCAUUAGAGAGAAAAGGAAAAUAUUCUUGAGUGUAGCAAAGGGGCAUCAACUGCAUGCCCAGAUGGUUUUUUCCAUCUCUUACUCUUCAGUAUUGAUUUAUUUAACUUUGCAGAAGGUUAUGCCAGAAAGGAGGUGUGAAAAAACUACAAUAAAUAAUUAUAUCAUUUUCUUCAAUGUGAAAACCACCUAAAUUUCAAUAAUUUAUAGUACUGUUUUCAUUGUCAUACACCAGACUCCUGUCUGGAUGAUAUUUUGCUCCAACAAUGGUGUAAUUGAUGUGAUGUGAUGGAAAAUAUUGCAUAGGAGAGUACGUCAUCUACUGCCUCAGCUGAAGUUUUCAACAAGUUAAUAAUUCUUCAGUGUAGGACCAAAGUAUGAAAAAUUCUAUUUUAUCAAGAAAAGUGAGCAUCUUCCUUCAUCAUCCCAGAAAUAUUACACUGGA
rnacentral:lncRNA from 1 species